UGGGUAACCUGCCUCAAAGAGGGGAAUAGCCUCCCGAAAGGGAGAUUAAUACCGCAUAAUAUGUUUAGGUCGCAUGACUUUAACAUCAAAGGAUUUUCUUUUAGAAAUUCCACUUUGAGAUGGACCCGCGGCGCAUUAGCUAGUUGGUGAGGUAACGGCUCACCAAGGCAACGAUGCGUAGCCGACCUGAGAGGGUGAUCGGCCACAUUGGAACUGAGACACGGUCCAGACUCCUAUGGGAGG
rnacentral:rRNA from 1 species